rnacentral:rRNA from 1 species
GGGGGGCAAGCGUUGUUCGGAAUUACUGGGCGUAAAGGGCUCGUAGGGGGCCAACUAAGUCAGACGUGAAAUCCCUCGGCUUAACCGGGGAACUGCGUCUGAUACUGGAUGGCUAGAGAUUGGGAGAGGGAUGCGGAAUUCCAGGUGUAGCGGUGAAAUGCGUAGAUAUCUGGAGGAACACCGGUGGCGAAGGCGGCAUCCUGGACCAACACUGACGCUGAGGAGCGAAAGCCAGGGGAGCAAACGGG